rfam:Gossypium raimondii Chr07_contig_832, whole genome shotgun sequence.
CACGUCAGAGCGCUUUGUUGACGUGGCAACAAAUCGCGUUCACGUAAGCGCGAUUUGUUGCCAUGUCAACAAAGCGCUCUGACAUGG